AACGAACGCUGGCGGCGUGCCUAACACAUGCAAGUCGUGCGAGAAAGUUCCUUCGGGAGCGAGUAAAGCGGCGCACGGGUGAGUAACACGUAGGUAACCUGCCCCCCAGUCUGGAACAACUAGAGGAAACUCUAGCUAAUGCCGGAUGAGACCACGAUCCCUUCGGGGGUUGCGGCCAAAGAUGGCCUCUACUUGUAAGCUAUCGCUGAGGGAUGGGCCUGCGGGCCAUUAGCUUGUUGGUGAGGUAACGGCUCACCAAGGCUGUGAUGGCUAGCUGGUCUGAGAGGAUGACCAGCCACACUGGGACUGAGACACGGCCCAGACUCCUACGGGAGGCAGCAGUGGGGAAUAUUGCGCAAUGGGCGAAAGCCUGACGCAGCGACGCCGCGUGGGGUGAUGAAGGCCU
rnacentral:rRNA from 1 species